rnacentral:lncRNA from 10 species
UUGGGCUUUCAGAAGGAUCGCUCUGGCAGCUGCUUCUGGCUGAGAGGUCACUCUGUAUCUGUCCACCUGGAAAGAUCAGCCCUGAACCCAGUUGAAAGCCAAACUCCCAGCAUACACAGAGACCCUCAGGGCAGGUCUGCCAUGUGCUUACAAUUCCCCAGCACCCAGAUCGGCCCAUCCGAGCCUCCACACAAUGGGCAAGGCUGGUUGGAAGAGGGAGCUCCCAGGAGGGCUUCUCCCCAUCAAGGCAGGCGUACUGGCUCCGUUGUCCUUUUAAAUGACCAUAAAACAGCACGGAAAUGAAUGCCAACUAACAAGGUUAAAGGAUCCUUAAAAAACAAAUGAUGCCAUUUUUUCCCCCAACUCGCUGCUGAGUAAAAAUUUGUCACUUCAGUAAGCAUUUUAUUGGUAAUUACAGAGUUACUUUAUUUGCAUAUUACAGAGCUGCUAGUGGCCCUAGUGAAAAUGCUUAAUGUCGCUGAGCAUCUUGGAAGGAAUUACUCAACCCAGGGAGGGAGAAUUCAGUAAUUAUUUCCUUAAAACUAGAAUUUGCUAAUAACUUUGCAGUAGAUCACUUUGUGCUCCCCAAUACAGCAAUUAAAUAAUAGCAAUUAAGUGCCAAAGUAACUCAGGCAUAGGGCCUAUCCCCAAAUAGGACCUCUGCUUUAUUUCCUUUGAAAGAGGAAUAAAGCUACAGUUGGCCCUUUUGACUCCUGAACCACCAGGGAACACCGAUUCCUCUUAGAGCCAGUUAGAGAAGGCUGGUGCUAAAUGUCAUCUCCUCAUCUUCAGAGCAGGAUCUGGAAACCCAGAGAGACGCCUAGGGUCCAUCCUGCAGCGAGGAAAGGCCGGCUCUCCAGAGCAGGAUCUGGAAACCCAGAGAGAGGCCUAGGGUCCAUCCUGCAGCGAGGAAAGGCCGGCUCUCCAGAGCAGGAUCUGGAAACCCAGAGAGACGCCUAGGGUCCAUCCUGCAGCGAGGAAAGGCCGGCUCUCCAGAGCAGGAUCUGGAAACCCAGAGAGACGCCUAGGGUCCAUCCUGCAGCGAGGAAAGGCCGGCUCUCCAGAGCAGGAUCUGGAAACCCAGAGAGACGCCUAGGGUCCAUCCUGCAGCGAGGAAAGGCCGGCUCUUCAGAGCAGGAUCUGGAAACCCAGAGAGAGGCCUAGGGUCCAUCCUGCAGCGAGGAAAGGCCGGCUCUCCACUCUAGCAGCUGGGAUGGCAGGCACAGAGGUCAGAUCCAUCCUUAGCCCAGGCCCAAGAUGCAGGCAUUUUCACUCCCAUGGGACCCACGAGAAGAGUGGAGUGGUUCCACAUCAGGAGAAUGGGACGCUUUGCGGUGUGAGCCGGGGGAGGCCCUUUUGCUUCCCUCUAUGGAGCUCAAUUUUUUCAGCAGAAAAUGAAGUGGACAGGAUGAUCCCUGAAUUCUGGCUUGAACAAAAGCUCCCGCGUGGCGCUGAAGGUGGAGGUGGUUCGGCUCAAGGAAUCUACCCUGUGAGCAUGAGGAGUUGAGACAAGCCUGGGCUAGGAGAAGGACACCAGCCCAUGACCCAGGCUAAGCUCUGUCAUGGGCAGGAUGUAUAACCACCACAAGUCAUUUCACUGCUAUAAAAUAGAGAUAAUAAUCCCUCUCCUGUUCACUUAUGGGCUUACUGUGAACAUCAAAUGAAAUAACAAGCACAGAAGUGUUUAAAUUGUAAGGUAUGGUGUCAAGUUGAAUCAUCUUCUGGUUCUUGAACCACAGGGACCAUUUAACCCAAUUUCCUCAUAUUCCAGAAGAGGAAACAGAAGUUCAGAGUGGCUGUGACUCGUCCAGUGUUCUCUGUGGCAGAACUGAGACCAGCUCCUAGAUGCGAUCUCUUCUCUUUAACCACCGCUGUGGCUGCUAUGAUUCAGAGACCUGACAACAUUUUGUCAUAGAAAAAAAUUCAACCACCUCCCCGCCGCCACCCCCCACCCUGCUGACCCUUGGCAUGGAGUAUCUCUCUGCCUUCAAAAGAAAAGAAGAAACAAAUUCCAAACCCCAAACCCCACUAACUGCAGAGCAGCUGCUUCUCAGGGAAAGCGGCCACCCGGAAUGUAACGCGGCAGAAACCGGUCUCACUGCCUGCCACCAAGCAAACGUGGCCUGUUCUGAUGGCUCAGUGGCCAAUGUCUUCCUGUCACCAAGCUCCUCCAAAUCGCGGGGGAGAUUGUUUUGACAUUUGAUUAGCCACAGAGUGUAACUUGUGAGUGCUUGAGCAAGCCGACUCUCAAGCAAUGGCAUCGCUGAGUGCUUUAGCCUGUUAGAGAUACCAUGUAUCAGGGAAAGCGAUGGCGGGCAGGGCUCCAAGAGGGAAGAUAAGUGGGCUGUUGGGAGAAAUUAAUACGAAGAAAGGAAGCGGCGAAUGAAGUCAAACGAAAACAGGGUCCUGUGAUAUCCAUGACUCAUAAAUUUCAUUGAUACCCAGAAUGGAAGAGCCUAUGAAGAUGGCCCUGAGAACAGAUGAGUGCCUGCCUAGGGCGUGAUUCAAGGGGGAAGAGGUCACCAAAGGAAGGCAGGAAGGUGAUAAUUGUGGGGGUGGGAAUGGAGAUUGGAGGGACCCAAGACAGAAGUCACAACUGAAUCCUUAUUUCUUUUUUUUUUUUUUUGAGAUGGAGUCUCUCUCUGUCUCCCAGGCUGGAGUGCAGUGACGCGAUCUCGGCUCACUGCAAGCUCUGCCUCCAGGGUUCACGCCAUUCUCCUGCCUCAGCGUCUCCGAGUAGCUGGGAUUACAGGCGCCUGCCACUACGCCCGGCUAAUUUUUUGUGUUUCUAGUAGAGACGAGGUUUCACCGUGUUAGCCAGGAUGGUCUCAAUCUCCUGAUCUCGUGAUCCGCCCACCUUGGCCUCCCAAAGUGCUGGGAUCACAAGCAUGAGCCACCGCGCCCGGCCUGAAUCCUUAUUUCUUAGCAAGGUUGUUCAGGCCACCCUACUCCAAACUAUUUAUUGCCAUGAGUCCCUUCAUUAUCUUUAACCACCAUAAACCCCCUAAUGUGAAAGACUGAGUCUGCCAAAUGAAUUAGGUUUUGCCGACAGCUCAGACCGUGGAGUUCCGUAAGCCUGCGGUGAGAGCUAAGUCUAAUCUAUGGGGGGUUCUCAGUAGGAUGUUUGACAUGUUGGAAACCACUUGGGGACCCCUCUGCUUUCUGCUGGACUCAACUUAGGCUGGCAGCUGUUGAUCCUGUGCUGUCACCUCCACCCCUCCCGCCGGUGCCCAUGCCUCGGGAGCCAUGAUGGAGAGAGGUCAGCAGGAAGGGGAGUGAAGUAGUGGGAAAGGCCUGGCCUGGGAAGCUGGGGAGGGGUGUGGUCCCAGAACAUAAGGAGGGGGAAGACUAGGAGAGGUGUCAUAUCAGGGGACUUCCUGGAGCUGUGGAUUUGCUAAUGCUGCCCUCUCUUCACUCUAAGGCCCUGUCUGUGACAUCAAGUGACCUCCCUAUAUUAGACUCUUGUGUGCAGAAAAGGCUAUACCUUUGUAGCCAAGGAAAACCCAUUUCAGUGGGCAGGAACCCACAUCAGAGUCCGCAGGUAAGCACCCCUAGUAAGGCUAAAUGAGGAAUAGAUUGGAAGAUCCAAGAGAUCUGGAAAAGGGGGCCUUUUAUGAACCUUAGACGCAGGAACUGCCAUUGCCCAAACCCAGCUCCAAACCCAGCUCAGCAGGAUGGGGCCUCCCCAUACUCCACCCCAAAGCCUGCAGUGGAAACCUCAGAACUGACCUUCCAGAUUGACCAAGUUGGUAGUCUUAGCUCUAGAUUGCACCUGAGGAAACUGAGGUACCUAGAAGUCAAGUAAUUUGUUCAGCAUUACAUGCUGGACUCUACGUCCAGCUUUGUCUGAUUCCAAGCCAGGGCUUGCAAUGCUGCACCAUGUACUGUGUGGAGGUUUUAGUGCACUUCAGAGUUUCUAUAGCUAUCUUCCCAACUAUCCUGUGAGCACGUAGAAGGCAGAAGCAAAGUUUUCUUUACUAUUUGCAUGGCUUCAUUUUAACACAUUUACUGGGGGCUCACUUCAUGUCGGGCAUUGCGCGAGGUGGGAAUAGCUACAUGAUAUCAUAUUUGGGGCGUAUGUUCAAGAAUUUCAAGAUGGUGACAGCAGAGCAUGAAACCAAGUGCAGGGUCUUUCUGAGAGCAGCUCCCGAAGCCAGUCCAGUCAUCAGAAGAGCAGAGAGAAGAGCACAAAACCAGACACAACUGCAGUGUCCUCUGAGAACGGGGACAGCUGUAGGCGCAGGGCUAAGGGAGCUCAGAGGAGAGCACUAAGCCCAACAAGCACUUGACUCGAUGGCGAUACUACACAUUUGCAGCUUCUCAGCGGGUGCUGAGGAAAGCACCUCGGUGCACGUGACCUCACAGUGACAUAAUGAGGCAGACAUUAUUUAUGUAACAAGAAAACAGCAUAGAUCCUAUACUACCUACCAGAUACUUCCCUCUUCCCCAAGCGUUUGUAACUAUUAACCACUUUGCUCUUAAUCUUUUGAUGUAGUUGCUUUGUUAUCCCCAUUUUACAGAAAAAGAAGCUGAGGUUCAGAGACAUUAAGUGACUUGGCAAAGUCGAAGCUUCAACCUCAGAUUAGUCUGUUUCUGGGUCUAGAAGUUUUUCUACCAGAGCAGCACUUCCAUGCAAGUAACCUCGGUGAAUCAGCUUUAGAAAACAUAUGAUACGCAGACAUUGUGUGAAGGCCUCUGGGGUCCCCUCCUUGCUGGGAUGAGAUGACAGGUCCACAAGGGGGCCAGGGGCAGCUGGUGCCCAGGGAGGGGCUGCACAGUGAGCCCCAGGGCCUGCAGCUUAGAGAAUCCUUUGUCUGAGGAUCAGCAUGUGUAGGGGUGGGACUGGUUAAAACAAACGAUUGCACCUUUCCUCCUUUUAAAGGGGAAAACAUUGGGAAAUGAAAUUAGAAUAAAACGAAGGGGAGAAAAACAUCCAUUGUCCCAGUAUCCAAAUACUACCGCUGUUAAUAUGUUGAAAUAUUCCCUGCCAGUCUUGAGGGAUGUGGGGAAAGUGUGCCUUCUUAUAUUUUGGGGGAAAUGCAAAGUGGUAUAACUUUUACUGGAAGCAAUCUGGCAACAUCUAUUAAAAUAAAAAAAGUAUAUACUCUUCAACUCAGCAGUCUAACUCCUGGGAAUCUAGCCCACAGAAAUAAAAGCUCCGUUAGGUAAAAAUGUAAGUACAAAGAUGUUUAUUGCAGCGUUAUUUGAGUGGCGUUCAUGCAUGUGCACACACACAGGGAACACAGUGAAUGCCCAUCCCAGAGAAAGGCUGAAUAAAUGAGGGUACAUAAAACAUGGACUAUUAUAUAGCCAUUAAAAAGAAUGAAUUAGCACUAUACUAUUUGACUGGGGGUAGGGAGGUACAUUAGUCUAUUUUGUGUUGCUAUAAAGGAGUACCUGAGACUGGUUAAUUUACAAAGAAAAGAGGUUUACCUUGGCUCACAGUUCUGCAGACUGUUCAGGAAGCAUAGAGCUGGCAUCUGCUUCAUGCAAGGACCUUCACACAAAGAAGCUUAUACUAAUGGUGGAAGGUGAAAGGCACAUCACAUGGUAAAAGAGGGAGCAAGAGAGAGAGGAGGAGGUGCCAGGCUCCUUUAAGCAACCAGAUCUCAUGUGAACUCAUAGAGUGAGAACUCACUCAUCACCAUGAGGACAGCACCAAGCCAUUCAUGAGGAAUCUGCCUCCAUGACCCAGACACCUCCCACUAGGCCCCCUUACAACACUGGGAGCCACAUUUCAACAUGAGAUUUGGAGGGGACACAAACCAUAUGAGGAGAUAUGUUGAAAGGGAAAAGAUAGAUGCAGAAAAAGGUGUGUAACAUGAUUCACUUUUUAUAAAACAAUAACAGAAAUGACCUGCCUUUGCGUUUGUAUGCAUAUACAUGUAUGUUGACACAGG